AUGCCCUCCAUUGAUAAUUUUUACAAAGCUAAAAAUUACUUAAAUGCACGGGUUCAAGUCAAUCCCUGAAUUCAAUAAUUCGUUUAGUUUGUACGUAAUACAAUUAAAAAAUAAAACGCUACCUAACUAAAAGUAGUAUAUGUAAACAAUUUGAAUAUACGGUAUUACGCACGGUUAAAUCAUACAUAUAUUGUUUGGUAAAAUAAUCUUAUCUAAAUAAAUAUUUGUAACUGAAUACCUAUAUGUAAAUAUAAUUACUGUACGUCUUUACGUAGGUAUAAUAUAUUAAAAUUUACCUAUUACUAAUUCAACUUUUACACUAAUUUAAUUUGAUAGUUGUUUAAUGUCUAAACCUAAUACCAUACCUAACUAUAUUUAUAAUACCAAAACCAGUUGAUAGUUGUAAAAAUAUUAUAAAUAUUCGUUGUUAUUUUAAACAUCUUAUCAUUACAGACGCAUUCUUAGUUAUAGAAGCAGUUACUCAUGUUGGUGGAGGUGUAUAUCAAGAAACUAAUAAGAAGGGAUCAAAACUCGCUAGUUACAAUUAUGUGAUCCGUUAUAAAGAAAGUGGACAAACUCAAACUAUCAUGGAUUGGUGUGAUAAUCAAUAGACAAAAAAAAUUCAUAAAAAAAAUUAAUUUUUAUUAUAUACUCGCCCUUUUAAAAUUAUGAUGGUUUAAUGUAAG